rnacentral:misc_RNA from 1 species
UUUGAGGGUUUAUGGGCAAAAAGUAUUGGAGUGGAAAAAGUCUUAAAAAGUAUCGGUAAAUUGGAGUCGGAAUAUGAUCCUGCAACAGAUGGCAGAAAAGCUGACAAACAAGACAUGCUAUUACGGGAUUACACAGAUGAUACAGCUAUGGCCAGGAGUGUAGCACAGUCUCUGAUUGAAAAUAAAGGCUUUGAUGCAAAACACAUGGCAAAAAUGUUUUCAGAAGAAUAUUUUAAGGACCCGUACCGAGGUUAUGGGGGUAGUAUCAUCACUGUGUUCUCCAAGCUGAAGGAUGCAGAAUUCGCAGAUCCAUAUAAGCCAGCAGCAGAACAGUUUGACGGGGAAGGUUCUUACGGAAAUGGAGGGGCUAUGAGGAUCGUUCCAGCCCCACUGUUUGCCUACAGACAAAAUGAUGUUCAGCAUUUGACAGAAUUAGUUGAACAAAUAACUAAGAUAACACACUCCCACCCCUCAGCAAUAAAUGGUGCAAUAUUCCAAAGCUUUGCGGUAGAUCUGGCAUUAAGAGGAUCAAAGGAGGUGGAUACAGGAGCAUUCUGUGACGAACUGCAGAAGAGAAUAAUGGAAAGAGAAAAAAAAGUCACCGAGAAGAUCAAAAAAAGGAAACUAGAGGAGGUUGAAGCAGAGGAGGACAAGUAUUGCAAGCAUCACAGACGACAUAAGGAAAUAUGCCUUACAAGAUGACUUGCCUUCCACGGAGGAAAUCACCGGGAACUUGGGAACUGAUAUUUCAGCCUACAGAUCGGUUCCAACAGCUGUUUAUUCAUUUCUGAGAGCAUCAAAACACAUUGACAAACUGGAGGACAGAAACUCGUUCGAAAAGACCAUCAUUUAUGCCAUUACCCUGGGAGGUGACACAGACACCAUAGCAACAAUGGCAGGUGCUAUCGCAGGUGCUUGGUAUGGCAUAGAGGCUAUUCCAAAAUCCUGGCAAGCUAGCUGUGAAUCUGUGGAGGAUGCCCUGAAGUUUGCGGAACAGCUUUAUGAACUGUCCUCAACCAGUGAAUGAUUUAUUGCUGUAGUAUUCACGAACCCAUCUAACCAAUGAAUGAGGACAAUUUCAAUGCUACAUACAAUUUAAUACUGUAAACUGUAAGUUUGCAUUGUGGAAAUUUUCAGGAAUUUUACAUUGAAAAUUUGUAAAUGUCUUUACCAAUUUGAACAGUUCAGAAAUUUGGUACUUGGUAAAAAAAAUUGCAGUGACUGUAACUUUUCUUGUAUUUCUUCUGCAAUGUGCAGCUACUAUAUACUGGUUGUGAUAUUUAAUACUGGUCUUUGAAAUUCACCCAAAUAAAACUGUGCAUACAGCAUUAUUGAUUCAGUGCAUGCCAGGUAUUCUGCUCCACUGUUCAUUAGUGUCCAUACUACAUGUACCGUACAUGUAUUUUCAAGUGGAGUGGACACUAUUUCCUUCCUUGCAACAAUCCUCCUUUCUUUAUUGACAUUACCUCAUAUAUUUGGACAUUUACAGUGUACAUUAUUUUAUUAAAAAGUAGUUGUUAUUUUCCUUUUUUUAUAUUACUUACUUAUUAGUUACACUUUCUGUUUAGGAAAAAACCUCUGAUAGCUUGACAUACCUCUAAGGCCGUCAAAAGUUUUAUAAUUCUCUGAGAUCAGGAAGAAUUGUUCUUUGAAAAAAAAAACCCACUACUUUAAUCUACAAUCCAUAAGAACUUGUGAUAUUUUUGGUCAUUUAUGGAAUACCUGGUAUAUUCAAGAUACCUGAAAGACCAUUACUAAAAUUAUAAGCCACAUGUAACUUGAAUAUUCAAUAUUUGCAGUAUUUUGAAUCACAGUUAUUAAUUAAAAUCAUGUUUGAAAUUUUUCUUUUGUUCUCCAUCUCUCUUAAAUUUAAACAGCUUAACUCAAUACAUGCAUUUAUAUUAGAUGAUCAACAUUUAUAAACAACAAAAAACACAAUUUACUUGUAUAUCAUGGUGGUAUUCUUAUACAACUGCUUUAUAAUAAUUCACUCUAUAUAUAUGAAGCAGAGGACAUUUCAUUGACUGUGAUAAUUAUACAUAGAUGGAUAUUAAAAAUAAAAUGUAUUCAUU